rnacentral:lncRNA from 1 species
AUGGAAAUUUAUAUGAUGGUGGAUGAAGAUGAAUAUGAUGAACACUUAGUUGGAGAGAGAAAUAUUUUUGGUUCAUGGUUGUUUUGGUUUAAAGCUUGGCUUAAGUUUGUGAACAGAGGCUUGGUUAUGUCACGCUUUUUCGCAUGGUUUGGAUUUUAUGCAAGAAAUAAUUUAUUUCUGGUUUUAGAGUUUGGCGAUUUAGCAAGGAGCGAUUUGCAAGUUACUUGGCUCAUGAAUGGAUCAAGGCUUUUUGGCAUGGUGUGA